CUUAGAGUUUGAUCCUGGCUCAAGACGACCUUUGGCGGCGCGCCUAACACAUGCAAGUCGAACGGAGCUUAGAGAGCUUGCUUUUUAAGCUUAGUGGCGAACGGGUGAGUAACGCGUGAGUAACCUGCCCUAGAGUGGGGGACAACAGUUGGAAACGACUGCUAAUACCGCAUAAGCCCACGGUACCGCAUGGUACUGAGGGAAAAGGAUUUAUUCGCUUUAGGAUGGACUCGCGUCCAAUUAGCUAGUUGGUGAGGUAACGGCCCACCAAGGCGACGAUUGGUAGCCGGACUGAGAGGUUGAACGGCCACAUUGGGACUGAGACACGGCCCACACUCCUACGGGAGGCAGCAGUGGGGGAUAUUGCACAAUGGGGGAAACCCUGAUGCAGCGACGCCGCGUGGAGGAAGAAGGUUUUCGGAUUGUAAACUCCUGUCGUUAGGGACGAUAAUGACGGUACCUAACAAGAAAGCACCGGCUAACUACGUGCCAGCAGCCGCGGUAAAACGUAGGGUGCAAGCGUUGUCCGGAAUUACUGGGUGUAAAGGGAGCGCAGGCGGGAAGACAAGUUGGAAGUGAAAACCAUGGGCUCAACCCAUGAAUUGCUUUCAAAACUGUUUUUCUUGAGUAGUGCAGAGGUAGAUGGAAUUCCCGGUGUAGCGGUGGAAUGCGUAGAUAUCGGGAGGAACACCAGUGGCGAAGGCGGUCUACUGGGCACCAACUGACGCUGAGGCUCGAAAGCAUGGGUAGCAAACAGGAUUAGAUACCCUGGUAGUCCAUGCCGU
rnacentral:rRNA from 1 species